AUUUCUACUGUUUCCAACAGUAAAAUUAUUACAGUUCAUCGACUAGUCUAUAUAGCUAUGGUCGUACGUCGCUUUUGUUCGCUAAUAAUUAACACGUUUUAGUCUGAAUUUUUGCCGCAUGUUUGAUUAUAUUCUCAAAAGUAUUUAACUACUACAAAAAUAAAAUUAUCAUGACAACUAAAAAUUUUUACUGGCGUUUAUCUUUUGUUUAUCUUACAAUCUCCACAGUGUCUCCAUACCAAAUAGAAUACUUUUAUAAUAUUUUCACUCAAGAUAAGACUCUUUUAGAUACUGAUAUAAUUACACUUCCAAAUGUACGAGUUAAAAGAUCAGCUGAAUAUAAAAAUAUUGCAGUACCUAUGUAUUUAAUGUCUUAUGAACUGUGGUCAGAGCCGUAAUUAAAGAGCUGGACAGGAUCAUGGGAAGUGGAGUUAAGCCAUAUGUUGGGGUUAAGCUAUGUGUAAAAACAGUUCAUCUCCCAUAGUCCCAUAUGUAAUGAUGCCUCUAAGAAAAAAAAAAGAAAAACCAGGACAGGAUUGGGUAGUCUCAGCGCUUCAAGAAAUAUUUUUCUACCAGCCCAUAAUUUGUUAUAGGUAGUGGCCCACGAUGGCCAACAAUGACCAUAUCACAUUUGUUGACAGUAUACUAUUAUAAUAUAGAUGUAUAUAGAUCAGCCUGUUAUACAAAUUGCGGACAUUUUCUACUAAGAGUCAAAAAUGUAAGCUGCCCUUCGAGAUUUUCUGAAAUACCUACUAGACUGGCCUAUCCAACCCCGGGCUCGCGAUUUUUGUUUGAAAUUGGGGCCUCGUGUUUGAAACAAAAAUGUGUGACAACAAUUAUUUAUGUUCUUAUAUGGUUAUAAAUUAUAACUAAUAGGUAGGUACUCGUAAAUUAGGUGACACUAUUAUUUUUGCCCUGAUCAAGGCGGUAAAUUAUAGUUAUUCUCAACAUCUUUUAUUUAUUUUGAGGUC